AACGAACGCUGGCGGCAGGCUUAACACAUGCAAGUCGAACGCAUCCUUCGGGGUGAGUGGCAGACGGGUGAGUAACGCGUGGGAACGUGCCCUUCAGUUCGGGAUAACCCAGGGAAACUUGGGCUAAUACCGGAUACGUGCGAGAGCAGAAAGAUUUAUCGCUGAAGGAUCGGCCCGCGUCUGAUUAGCUAGUUGGUGGGGUAAUGGCCCACCAAGGCGACGAUCAGUAGCUGGUCUGAGAGGAUGAUCAGCCACAUUGGGACUGAGACACGGCCCAAACUCCUGCGGGAGGUAGCAGUGGGGAAUAUUGGACAAUGGGCGCAAGCCUGAUCCAGCCAGGCCGCGUGAGUGAUGAAGGCCUUAGGGUUGUAAAGCUCUUUCGUCCGGGACGAUAAUGACGGUACCGGAAGAAGAAGCCCCGGCUAACUUCGUGCCAGCCGCCGCCGUAA
rnacentral:rRNA from 1 species